UGUGUGAGGCAUGUGAGGGUUGUCGCUGGCUUCNAAGUUGUGCACGCCGGAGCAUGUCCUCUCACAUAACACAAUCCAUCUCACCCUUUGUGCACCACCGCGCGGGCACCCUUUGGGAUCGGACCGAUCUCUUAGGGGACUCGCGUUUUCACACCACACCCCUUUUUAAAAAGUGUAGAAUGACCUCAUUUAUGCGAUCAAUACAACUUUCAACAACGGAUCUCUUGGCUCUCGCAUCGAUGAAGAACGCAGCGAAAUGCGAUACGUAAUGUGAAUUGCAGAAUUCAGUGAAUCAUCGAAUCUUUGAACGCACCUUGCGCCCCUUGGUAUUCCGAGGGGCACACCCGUUUGAGUGUCGUGAAAUCCUCAACUUCCUCGGUUUCUUCUGGAGACCAAAGGAGGCUUGGACUUUGGAGGCCUUUGCUGGCGCGUCUCUCGCCAGCUCCUCUUAAAUGAAUUAGCGGGGUCCUCUUUGCCGAUCCUCGACACGUGAUAAGAUGCUUCCGUGUCUCGGUUUCUGGCUCUGUUGCUUUUGGGACCCGCUUCUAACCGUCUGGACCUUGUGUCGAGACAAUGUUCGAGCUCGUCUCCCUUCUCGGGAAACGCCCUCGACCCCACGAACCCUUGGCCUCAAAUCGGGUGAGACUACCCGCUGAACUUAAGCAUAU
rnacentral:rRNA from 1 species